UACGUAGGGGUCGAGCGUUGUCCGGAGUUACUGGGCGUAAAGCGUGCGCAGGCGGCUCAUUGCGCCCGGCGUGAAAGCCCCCGGCUCAACCGGGGAGGGUCGUCGGGGACGGGUGAGCUUGAGGGUAUCAGGGGUUGGUGGAAUUCCCGGUGUAGUGGUGAAAUGCGUAGAGAUCGGGAGGAACACCCGGUGGCGAAGGCGGCCAACUGGGAUACACCUGACGCUGAGGCACGAAGGCGUGGGGAGCGAACGGG
rnacentral:rRNA from 1 species